GGCACUUUGGCGGAGUGGUUAACGCGAUGCCCUGCUAUUAUCCAUAGCGGCCUAGGCAUUUCCUUCGGGAGCGCAGGUUCGAAUCCUGCAGGUGUCG
rfam:Microdochium bolleyi strain J235TASD1 unplaced genomic scaffold Micbo1qcscaffold_22, whole genome shotgun sequence.